CUCGCUCGGCGCCUCCCCACCCCCUCCGCCGUCCCCAUCCCCCACUGCAGCUCCCACAGCCUCCUCUCCCUCCCAUUAACGCUGAAAGGGGAGGACAGCAGCUCUGAUGGGUUUUUCUCAGGCUUACUCUGUUUUCCCCCCCCCUCUCCCCCCCAACCAAUACCGGCUGCAUAAGUGCAAGCCGUGCACCCGAGCUCUGCUAGCACACCCACUAAAAUGCCCCUUCCCCCGAGCUCCACAGCCCUGCGAGGAAAUACUGAUCCCCCCCCCCCGCCCCGUUUUGCUUAUUCAUUAUAAGGGGUUGGUAGUGUGCUUUUAAAAAUGGGUGAGCUCUUGUUUUAGAAGCAUCUGUGCUUUAGGAAUAAGGUUUUGUCUUCUGUCAUCUUGAAUGUAGCUCUUCAGAAUAAUCUCUUGAAGUGCUCCAUUUUUGUCCUUAAAGUUGUAUUUUAUUGCCUCUUCUGGAUCAGUGAAGGUCAGUUUAACCCUUUCUCUAUGAAAAUCAGCAGUCACUUCGGAAGAAGGUUGCCUUUUUCUCUACUAAUUCAUGGUUAUGAUAAUAUUUUAUUGAGUGAGGGUUUUUUCCAGACCAGUCAUGAUGCAUGCUGAAAGAAGCGUGUGCUUCAGCACUGAUUAAAGUCAUGUAUGAGUUAAUGAGAAGCUUGCAGAGUAUGUGAAGCAAGAGAAAAUCUUUAACCAGCUCUGCUGUUCCUUCUACAUACCACAAACUUGUAAGCUGUAACCAGAAGGUGGAUUGAAUGUGUGUGUGAAAUGCUGCAGUAGGGGACUCUUGUAACUGCAUCACAGGUGGAUGCUUGCUUAUUUGAUGUAUUACUGUUUUCAGAAUACCUUAAAGUUUAUAUUUUUUUUCUGAAAGUGUUGUGAGACUCCAUAUUUCAAAGGAGGGAUCCUUGGAUGAAAGAUGUAACAAACCUAAAGAAUAUUAUUUUCUGGGUUAGCUUUUCAUUUUAAACAGUCCCUUUUUAUUCUCAUGCUGUCUUCCAGAUUAAUAGAUUGCUAAUAUGUAAGAGACUCUCAGGUGUUGGAGGAAUAGUAGUGGUGAUGUCAACACUUUAGCUGUGGGACUUCUAAUUUAAGAAACAUAUUGUCAGAAGGAAUCAGAUCAAGGCUGACUCUUCCUCGCGUUUAGGUCCAAAUAUAAGAUACACGUUCUAGGGAGUCCCCAAUGAGCACUGAUAGUAAUUAAGUAAAUAAACUUUCCACUUCAGUCCUGCCCCCCUUUUAAACAUAGACACGAAGGUGCAACCCUGUUUUCAUUAUGCAUCAUGAUGCUUUGUAUUUUUUAUUGCACUUGCAUCUUAAAUCCUCAAGUGACAUAAUUUCUGUGAUUUUGGGGUAUUUCUAGAUUGCACUUUUAAAGAAAUUGUGGCCCAAAAGGAACUAUGGAGCAGUAAUUCUCAUGAAAAGACUGUGUUCUUACACCUUUGCCUUUUUUUUUCCCUGUAAUUUUCAUACUUAAUUGUUGAAUUCCUCUUUAUUUACAUUAAGUAAAUAUUUAUUAGUACCAGUUGGAUUUUUUCAUCUUUAUAAAAGAACAGAGCCUUGUCACUGAGACAAUCACUUUAUACGGUAUUGAGGAUAUGACAUACAAAAGGAGCGAAGGAAAGUUGUCUUGCGCUGGGAACAUCAAAUGCCAUUUCUGGAAAACAAUACUAUAGGAAAUGGAAAUGAAAAAUAUGUUUUAUGCUGGUGAGAUCUGUGUAAUUAGGGUAAGAGGAUUUGAUGGCUCAGAAAACCAAUCUUUACAAGCAAAAAAAGUAGGACUUUUCAUCAAUUGCAAAAGUUCUGUGGCUGAAUAUCCUUUUGGGGAACUGAAAUUUGGCUCAAGUGUUCUGUUUAUGAACAUCUGUUCAAUGGAAUUUUUAAAUGGCACAGAUUAUAAUCUUAGUUUCUGUUGAUUGUUUUAGCUAAAAUAGGCAAAACAAAAUGAAGGAAAUGUAUCUGUAAGUAACUUUUUUUUUUUUUUAAUAAUGAGCUGCAUGAAUGUUCCAUACUACGGAUUACCUGGUUCUAGCUGUGUAGCCCAUGAAUUUUUCUCUUUAACAUAUAAAAUAUAGCCUCCCCCCAUUCUGUCACUGUUUAAUUCUGUUUGACUGUUUUUCUGAUACGGCUUUCAAGUUUUUAUUGCACCAAGAAACUUUUGGAUAUCGGUGCGUCCCUGAGAUUUUUGCAGAAAGAAUAUAGUUAUCUCAAAAUUUCCUCUCAGAUAUAUAAGUUGGGUAUUCCCAGAACUGAGGCCAGCUGCUUAGAUUCACAUCCUGCCCACCUGCCUUCAACUAGGUUCUGUAAAUGCAAUCACUUUAUGUCCACUGUCUCUGGAUAGUACUACUUCAGCAUCUAUUUCUGCAGUGUUUGUGACCCCCUCUUAUUCAGGGAGGUCUUCACUGUAAUUUUCCCUCCUAUUAUUUUGCCUCUUUUGCAGCCCAGUGUUUUUGCUGUUGUUUUAUAUUCCAAGCAAGGAUCCUGUGAAUGCUUCAGCUCAAAAUUUAGGUCAUCUCUGAUGGAGGAAGGAAAAGGAAACCGAAAAAGUAAAAAUAAGAUUUCAAUGUGCUUUUAAAAGUGACAACUCUUAGAAAAAAAUAUACAAAUUCAUCUUUAUUUCCUGGCUCUACGGAGUUUGUCUGAGACUCCUGGGGAGAACGGAGGAAGCCGUUUUUUGAUUCCCGAAUGAAAGCUAAGUAUCUUCAUAUGAGUGUGGUUUCUUUUUCCCAUGUGCCUUACUAGUCCUUUUUAUUUUCACACCUGCUUUGAGCUUUAAUCACUCAAAUUAUUCAUAGACUUGCCCUGGAAAAGGAAGAGAAUGACCUCUUCCCAUCUGGAGUACAUGGAUUUACCAUCAAUAAUUGUAAAUGGACUUGGAUGACUUAAUGAUUUUUAUACUUAAAAUUUUUAAUUCUGUGACUUCAUUGCUUUUUAAGGAUCCUGUACAUGGUCUUCUCCCAACUGAUAAAUCUCAGUGGUAUAACUUCAAGUUAUUUCUUGCAAAUUAUAUCUUAGAAUUGAGCUCACAUUUACAAAGUGCUGAUGAUCACUCGUGAACUGCUGAGUCAUCAAAGAGCAUGCAGCUUUCACAGAACCAGGCCCGAGAGAAGACUUGCAUAGCCAGAGUUCACCUCAUAAAUCACCUAGACAAAUCCAACUCGGGGCAGAAUAAGACACAAAAUGAGAAUAGUUGUGAUUUAGACUCAAUGAACUUUGUGGUGUUCUGCUGUGGAAAUGUACUUGCAUGAGACAAAUAGAGAGAGCCACCUGUCACCAAAUGCAUCUUCAUGAUGGAGGGAGCACCAUGAGGGGGACUUCAAUGGGAUCAGCAAUCAUGCAGCAUAUUUAGAAACCUGCAAUUCCGCUAUAUAGUAUUUACUUUUGAGUGAGCGUGUGACUGUGCCUUAUGAGAUGAAAGCUGCAGCACUGAAACUGUUUUACUGAACUUAGCUCCUGACCUACCUUCUAAGGCCAUGUCUACAAAGGAAUGAUACAUCGGUCUAGUUUGAUCUAAUUACAGCUAUUUAACUAUAUUGAGCAUAAGUAUGUUCACCCCACUUUGUUAUGCUGAUUUAAGGUGCUUUCAUUGUUAAUCGGGUUCACACAGUUUUUUCUUGCAUGAAUUCACCUAUCAAAAUAUUCUGAGCAGUUAUCCUAUGAAGCUGUUUUCUGCUACUCAGCUGUAUGUUUUUUGGUUUUUUUAUAAUGCUUUAUCUUCAUUUUUUUGUAAUGCUUUAUUUAACGCAGUAUUUUUUUUCAUAAUGCUGUGAGGUUGUGUGAAGAAGAAACUGGUAAAAACAUUAGUAUGCAUGUUCCUGUAAGGUUGCACAUGCGAAAGGAUUUAGUUCUGCAGUUUCAUAGAGUUUUUGCUACUUUAGUAGUGGAAGAAAUGCAAAAAGAGGAGCAGUAAGAUGUAAUCAACCUGUUACUUCUGGAGAAUAUUUAUCAGGAACAGUUUACUCGACGGUGUGCUGUUUCUGGGUGUAGUCAGCUCGCAGUGACUGAUAGCACAAGGUAGUGAUGCAGAACUGGGAUGACCAGGAGUGGCAGCCGCACAUCAGGAUGACAAAAUCGCACUCCUAGAAAGCUGUGUAGAGCUCAGCUGCAGAGCCAGAAUACAAACACAAGGAUUUCCCUUAACACACAGAAGCCUAUUGCCAUCAAUACUGUGGAAGCACAUCAUUUCUGAUUACCUCCAAUUGAAAACUUGCCAGUUUUAUACCAGGGAUAUUGUCAUGGAGUUUUUAUGUAUGUGUCUGAAGAAGGUGCUGAUCUUCUGUGCCAUAAAGCCUGGCAGUGCGUAAGAAAUUACUGACAGCUUUUCCCAGGUACGGCCUGUGAAUCAAAUGAGGGUUAUUGGGGUUCAAAGAAUAAAUGUCUGUCGAACCAGGAGAAAGUUUAUGAACACAGAGAACAACUUCAUGCUUGUACAAGGCCUUGCUCAUCAAUGUAGAUGAUUACUGUUGAUUUUUCCCAAAAGAAUGUAAAUUGGUGUUAUAAAACUUUUCCAGGCCAGAAUUUUUAGAAAUUUGGCCUUGUCCUGAUUUGUACAACAUCUGUAAGAGGAACGGAAAGAUACUGAAGGGUGGGUAGAAACAAGAAAUUGAGUCUCUCAACGUUAUGGACAUCCAAUUAAAGUGGCUAUUUUGCAGAAGCUUUUUAUCAGAAAACUAUGUGCUAUGAUUUUAUGAACAAGAGGUAACUGAGCAGAUUAAUCAAAGAAAUACAGCGUUUGACUUUGUUAACAAUUGCUGUAAGUGAUGUUAUGCUGCUGUUGACUGAGGUGUAGCUCAGUGAAGAUCUUCAUCAAAAGAGUAUCAAAGUAGUUGGACUUAGCAACAUAAAAUGAAUGCAACAAGUACAGUUAAUCUGAAAUGCCAUGUAGACUUUAAAGAAACUCAGAGUUCACUUGUAUUCUCAGAAGUGAUGAUACGCUGCUUCAUCUAUUGUGGAGGCCGGAAGUUGCAAGAAAGUAACUUACUGAAAUGGUGGCCCAAAAUGAUGUGUUCGUUGUCUAAAAGGAGAGUCUGCUGUUGAAAUUGAAAUACACCUUUCUUAUCACUACUUUUCUUGCUGCAUUUGCUCUAAUAAUAAACAUAGCAGUCAUGCAAAGAGACGUCAGGAAGUCAUUUGGUCCCAUGCCUACUCUGAAGCAGGACAGGUAUGCUUCGAAUAUCCCGUGCAGGUGUUUGUGUAUCCUUUCCUUACAAAACCAUAAAGGAGGGCAUUCUGCAGCUUCCCAAAGUAAUAGUUCCAUUGUGUGAAUGUCACUGUUGUUAAUCUCUACCAAAUCUUACUAUAAAUUAAGUCUACCACCUAUUUUACUUCCAGUGGGUAUAGGGAACAUUUGAUUGCUGACCUCUGGUGCAACAAAAUGGAAGACUGGUAUUUUUUGGUCUGUCUGUCUGUCUCUUUUUAACUAAACAGAUCCAGUAUUUCAACCUCUUCUUGGAGGUCAGAUUUUCUAAGCCUCCCAGCAUUCUUGUUGCUCUUUUUGUACUGUUUCUGGUUGGUUUAUAUCUGUUUCUACUUUUUAUGUGGUACCUGAAAUUGGAUACAAUAUUCCAGCUGAGAUUUCACCAGCACUGAGCAAGAUAAUGGUCAUGGGUGUCCUACGUAAAAGAAUCUUAUUAAAUAUUUCUGUGAUGUAUUAUCUUUAUUGCAUUGACUCAAAUUCAGUUUGUGAUCCAUUAUAACCAUUGGCUUCUUUACUGCAGUAUUGCUGCCCAGCCAGUUAUUCCCCUUGUUGUACAUGCUCGCGUGUUGAUCCUUGGUUACAGAAAGACUUCCCUGAAAAUGUCAUGCCUGUAAACAAGGGGGGAAAAAAGAUCUGAGGAGGUUUUUCCAAAUGCAGUUUUUUUGUGAAGUCCAAGUGGGUCCGGUCGCCAAUGGGAGAGGAACUGUCAGCUACUGUCCAUUUUCAAUAAAGGAUGGAGAUCAUAACAUGUCUUACUAUAUUGCUGAAAAAAUGUUAAUUUUGUAAAAGUCCUAAUAUGAGCUGGAACAGGAGUAUUUACUUGCUAGUGCAAAAAAAGUGGUUACAGUAUAUGAGUCUCAGACAAUCAUUUUCUUGCUAAACUUUUUCAGUCUCCUGCUAUCCACAAAAUGAGCAGAAUGACUUUGUCAAUGUCCCUUAAAAAAAGAAAAAGAAGAAUAGAAGUGGCUACUGGAAUUGAGAUAAACCAAAGUUAAAUCUGAAAUACAGUUGAAGAAAGAGGAAAACAACAACCAGAAACGUUACGUUUCUGAUUUUGUCCAAAACCCUGAGGACAUAUGAAGUUACAAUCCCAUGGACAUGAGAUGUUCUGUUGGCCUUUCAUGCGGUUAUCUGGUCAAAACACUGCUUUAGAAGAAUAAAAGACCAAGGAUGUAUUUCUGCCUUGUGCCACUGCAUAUUACUGUUUAAAGAAGGAAGAAGAGGUGGCAGAUGCAAGGAAUUCGUCUUUAGCAGCAUGGAACACAGUGCGCUUGAAAUCAUGAAGAAUGUUUCCAGUGGUCAAAUAACUGAGAACAGACAAUUGCAAGAAGAACAGCCAUGGUCUGUUUGUUAAAGAAAAAUACUGCUAAAGCAGGUAUGUUUUUGUCUGGAGAGAUUCAGAGAUCUUAGACUGAAAGAAGUAGGUGGUAUAUGUUCCUGGUGACGUUGUUUGUGAGGGAAACAAGGAGCCAUUAGGAAAAACGAGAAAUAUGAUGGCAGGAAACUUCGCAGCCUUUUAUCGUCUUCUGGGGAGCUACAAUAAUUUGCCUUUGAGACAGUUUCAAGCCCUACCAUCUGAAAGGACUGUUCUUUCAGUAGUUCUCUACAGUACUAGAGGACCCUUAUGCUGCCGAGGUGAUGUGUGUGUGUAUAGGUUUGACUAGAACAAGGAUCGCUGCCAAGUUCUCCAAGUAUUGUCUGACACCGAGAAUUUGCUGGGCUGGUGGGUAUUCCAAGGCCAGGUCAACCUACGUGUUAUUCACACUGUAUUUUGUGCUUCUUUAUACUUUAGCAGAGAAUUGAGCAGUGUGUUCAGUUUUCCUGCGUAGGGUUCUUAACGGUUUUGCCUAUCUUAAUCCAGUUCCCCGCACUGUGGUGCAGUCUCUAAUUACAAAUCAAAUCAUAUAGCCUGCCUUCUCAAGACCUGUCUCAUUCAAUGAAUAUCUUCCCAGAAUUUCUUUUUAUCCUUGUUAUUUGAUGUUUGCUUACAUAUUUUAUUUAUUGCAUAUAAUUCAAGUGCUGCAGUAAAUACAGAAUUACUAAUUGUAAUGGAUUUUGUGUGAUUUCGCUGUAGUAUCUGAAUACAUUUUAACCACCAUAAAUUUAUCUUCACAAUGUUCUGAAGAGGUUUUACUCUCAUUUCACUGAUGAACAGCAGAGAAAUUAAUGGCAAAGCUAUAAAAAUUCUCCACUGUAUGUUUGUUCCACAGUGACAAUAAACAAGUUUGCAACUUGCCCCAGUGAACUAAUCUGUAAAUAGCUUCCUCAUUAAUCAUCCACCAAGUUGCAGAUGAGCAUUCAAAGGGUGCUGCUGAUGCUGGUUAUUCCACGUGUUUGGACUUUCUUAAUAUUGGACCAGAAGAGCCUCCUUGGGUCACCAAGCCUUAUUCCAGGCUUUUACAGGCAAUCAUAUCUCAUUUUGUCCGCCUUUUAGAGCUCCCCGAUGGCAACACGAUUUUAUUAAAUAUUCCGGCAGAAAGUAAUGAAGAUGAAAUCGUGGCAAUCCAAGUGCGAGCGCUGAACGCUCCCUGGGCUCCAGCCGUCCCGGAGGCACCCUUCAUCGAGCGAGCAGAUAAAAUCUUGGCAAAAGGAGCACCAAAGGAUGUGAACCCCUCGGAAAAUUCCACUUCCUGUGUACUAAUGCUCGUCCUUGGGUCUCUCACUCAUUCCCAUGCAUUUAACAAGGGAUCUGCGCCCGAGGCGACGGCGCUAACUUUCUAAAUAAAUGCAGUGCUGCAGAGAAAGAGCGAGCUCGCUGCUUCUCCCUUUUUGCUGUUGAUCUCGGCUCAGUAUGAUCUGUCUGCUCUCUGCCUACUUCCCUCCAUUUUAUUUCUCUGCUGUUUUUUCAGCAGACUCCAACUCUCUCCUGCUGAACUUGCUGUGAACAAAAGGCUCCGUUCCAGAUCCAGCCCGGAGUUGCCGUGAGAAACUUCACUGCAAGCCCUGUCUGUCGCUCUGCCUCCCUCGCUCGCUCGCUCCCUCCCCGGCUCAGUAAAAUGGCAGUGCGAGAGCUUUAUGAAAAGGGUGAAAAACCUCCUUUCUCGGCGCCUGGCUCUGCCCGCAGGGAAAUCCUCCACCCCACUCGUGACUCCUGAACUCAAACUUCUCGAAAACCCCACUUUAGAGGGGCAGGAUUUCACGGGCGUGGGUAUUUUUUACACUCCACUGAAAAGAGCAGCCGAGGGUGGGAGAAACAGGGACAGACUCGCUCAGAGUCGGCAGCUUUCUGUAUGCCGGCUAACUCGCCGGUGAUUUCAUCUCUCUGCACGGCUUUGCCAGUUCCCAACUACUUGAAAUGGAAUAAUAGUUUUGCCUCAGUGGGAAAAUCCAGGCCCAGAGUUGAGGGCUUUCUCUCUCUGCAGCUUUAAAAGCCUUUUUAACCCCUCCGAGUGGGGUUUCCCGUGUAACGUGGCUGCUGGUGCGAGCCCACCAGACGGGUCCUAAAUCUGGUGGGAUUCAGCAAAAACUAGACGGUUGGUUCCUGAUCCAGUGCAGGGGUUUUUAGAAACUCCGGUCCGCGUUUUGUUUUAUUUUUUGCUUUUUUUUUUGCCUUUUUUUUUUUUUUUUUUUUUAAGUAGAUUUACUCUUCCUUCUCCAGGAGAGCUCAGCCCCAGCGAGCUGGUGGCGGAGGCAGGCUGUGGCGCCCGUGUGCACAGCCGCGUGUCUAAAACGAGAUCCGUUUGCUCUUUCACUGCACUUUAUUAGUGUUUUCCUCCUCGAUUUGUCCACUUGCAGAUCAUCUGCCAGCUCCCUCUGGCUUUUAUCCGCUCCAGCUUCGCUCUUUGCUCCUUCCCUGAUGGGUAAGGGCAGCGGCGCUCUGCUCCAUUCCCCCUCUGGACCCGACGCUACCCACGUGUGCACGGAA